UACGUAGGGUGCAAGCGUUAUCCGGAAUUAUUGGGCGUAAAGAGCUCGUAGGCGGUUUGUCGCGUCUGCUGUGAAAACUGGAGGCUCAACCUCCAGCCUGCAGUGGGUACGGGCAGACUAGAGUGCGGUAGGGGAGAUUGGAAUUCCAGGUGUAGCGGUGAGAUGCGUAGAUAUCUGGAGGAACACCGGUGGCGAAGGCGGCAUCCUGGACCGAGAUUGACGCUGAGGCGCGAAAGCCAGGGGAGCAAACGGG
rnacentral:rRNA from 1 species